rnacentral:rRNA from 1 species
UAGGGAAUUUUCCACAAUGGACGAAAGUCUGAUGGAGCAACACCGCGUGCAGGAUGAAGGCCUUCGGGUCGUAAACUGCUUUUAUGAGUGAAGAUUAUGACAGUAACUCAAGAAUAAGGGACGGCUAACUACGUGCCAGCAGCCGCGGUAAUACGUAGGGUGCAGGCGUUAAUCGGAAUUACUGGGCGUAAAGCGUGCGCAGGCGGUUUGUUAAGACAGGUGUGAAAUCCCCGGGCUUAACCUGGGAAUUGCGCUUGUAACUGGCAGGCUAGAGUGUGGCAGAGGGGGUGGAAUUCCACGUGUAGCAGUGAAAUGCGUAGAUAUGUGGAGGAACACCGAUGGCGAAGGCAGCCCCCUGGGUUAACACUGACGCUCAUGCACGAAAGCGUGGGGAGCAAACAGGAUUAGAUACCCCUGUAGUCCCUGAGCGGGCUGGCAAGGCGCAU